GACGAACGCUGGCGGCGUGGAUUAGGCAUGCAAGUCGGACGGUAGAGCUUUAUCGUAAGAUAGAGUUUGAGAGUGGCGAACGGGUGAGUAACACGUAGGAAUCUACCCUUAAGACGGGGACAACCCAGGGAAACUUGGGCUAAUACCGGAUGAGAGUGCGAGAGAUUGCAUUUAAAAGGAUGGCGAAAGUUGUCGCUUAGGGAUGAGCCUGCGGUCUAUUAGUUAGUUGGUGAGGUAAGAGCUCACCAAGGCGAUGAUAGAUAGGCGGCCUUAACGGGUGGUCGCCCACACUGGGGAUUGAGAUACGGCCCAGACUCCUACGGGAGGCAGCAGUCGAGAAUAGUCUACAAUGGCCGGAAGGCUGAUAGUGCGACGCCGCGUGAACGAGGGAGCCCUUCGGGUGUAAAGUUCUUUUCUAUACGAGCAGUGCUAUAUAUAAUGGAUAGUAUAUAUAGAGGGAUAGUAGUAUAGGAAUAAGCAACGGCUAACUCCGUGCCAGCAGCCG
rnacentral:rRNA from 1 species